rnacentral:rRNA from 1 species
GAUGAACGCUGGCGGCGUGCCUAAUACAUGCAAGUCGAGCGAACAGAUAAGGAGCUUGCUCCUUUGACGUUAGCGGCGGACGGGUGAGUAACACGUGGGUAACCUACCUAUAAGACUGGAAUAACUCCGGGAAACCGGGGCUAAUGCCGGAUAACAUUUAGAACCGCAUGGUUCUAAAGUGAAAGAUGGUUUUGCUAUCACUUAUAGAUGGACCCGCGCCGUGUUAGCUAGUUGGUAAGGUAACGGCUUACCAAGGCAACGAUACGUAGCCGACCUGAGAGGGUGAUCGGCCACACUGGAACUGAGACACGGUCCAGACUCCUACGGGAGGCAGCAGUAGGGAAUCUUCCGCAAUGGGCGAAAGCCUGACGGAGCAACGCCGCGUGAGUGAUGAAGGUCUUCGGAUCGUAAAACUCUGUUAUUAGGGAAGAACAAAUGUGUAAGUAACUGUGCACGUCUUGACGGUACCUAAUCAGAAAGCCACGGCUAACUACGUG